UACGGAGGGGGCUAGCGUUGUUCGGAAUUACUGGGCGUAAAGGGCUCGUAGGCGGCCAACUAAGUCAGACGUGAAAUCCCCUCGGCUUAACCGGGGAACUGCGUCUGAUACUGGAUGGCUUGAGAUUGGGAGAGGGAUGCGGAAUUCCAGGUGUAGCGGUGAAAUGCGUAGAUAUCUGGAGGAACACCGGUGGCGAAGGCGGCAUCCUGGCCCGAUACUGACGCUGAGGCACGAAAGCGUGGGGAGCAAACAGG
rnacentral:rRNA from 1 species